UCCUUGAUUGUGCCAUCGGCUCCAUCGAGCAAGCAGACCACCUCCGGCAAGUACCAUCUACAGAGAUCAUAUAGAACUCAUAUAAAGUUUACUCUUUUCUCAAAAACAAUACUUUUUGGGUAUGACAAUACAACUUACAUCUUCUAUUCAAGGUAUGACAACACAAUGAAAUAGCUUUUUAAUCAUGUCCUAAGUUCCCGUUGUGAUUUUUUAGUCAUUAUUCUAGAUCAACUUCGCAUCCUUGAUUGCAACCUUAUCAUAUUCUUAGAGUUCAAUCUUUCUCAACAGAACAUAAUCAGCAGUACAAUCCACGUCCUUAAUUUAAGGUGUGACAACACAAUCAAGUACUGCCUCUGUAAUAUAAGACAUUUUCUCGACUUGCCAUAUAAAGCAUCUUAUAUCAAUGAACAGAGGCAAUAGCCUUUAAGUUCAGAUCAGACCCUAAGUUCACCUUGCGAUUUUUAAUUGUACAUGAACUUGCCAUCCUCAAUUGCAAUCUUAUUCUUCACUAAACAUAUGCUUUUUAUGGAUUUGCAUGUAACUACACCACUAGGAUAAAAGGUACUCACAUAUUUGUGUUUUCAAAUGAAGAUUGGAACUUAACAUCCACUGGUCUUGGAAGUUGAUCUCCUUUCUACAACAAAGACGGAAUUUUGUAAGCAGAAAAAAUAUCAAAAUCAUAAAUCUUCAUAAUCUUGAGCAGUACUACACAACGACUUUACAAUAUCUCAUCUUCUCCAUUGUGCAGGAAGAACCAAAGGAAAUAAAAGGUGAGCCACAUAGCAAAAAUGUUAGAAGUCUGCCAAGGUGGUUAAAAGUAUGAAAUAUGCAAUACAACAAGCUGAUCCAUUACUAACCAUGAAUCUUUAAUAGGUGGUAUUAUAAGAAAAAGAUUUAGCUUGGAUUUGUGAUUCAAGUAGGCGCACGUGGGUUAGUGGUUUAAGCUUGGACCAGGGAAAAUAUUUCAAAUUACUUCUUACUGAUGUGAGUCCAGUCAAUAAACAAUGACAAGUUAGGAGAGGAGAAUGAAACUUCAAGACAAGAAAAUGAGAAAACAUUCGAUCAUAGAUGGAGAUGUGCCAGACUGCACAACUAUGCCAAAAGAAGAACCUUUGAACCACGUGCGCAAAGAAAAUUGUACAAACUUGUUUCUUUAUGUGUAUUAUCAUCCACUAUCUUUACUUACUGCUUUGAAUUCAACUGCUAAACUUCUCUUACAUGAUGCACGACUGUAGUAAGGUGUACUGGAAACAAUAUUAUAGAUUGCUUCUGCUUUGAGCAACAAUUGUGUUAUCUAUGUCUACCAUUCUUUCCAGGCUUACAAAAGUUUCUUCAAUAAUCCAGUGUAUUUGAUGUACAAAUAUCUGAUCUUACACAGUUUACCAUCCACAAAUGGUUAUCAAGCCCGUCCGCCUAUGCAGUUCCAUAUGAUCUGCAACUAAUUUGAAGUGGUGUAUUAAGUAAAUAAAAACAUGCUACAUUUGGUCCUGACCGUAGCUAUCAAUUAUUUCUUUGUCAAAACAACAUGAGAACAAAUUUCCAUGUAGUAUGGCUUAACCAAGACAACGGCAAAAUCAGCAUUGUUUCAUUGCCACAGGGAACCAUAUCAUGUACUCCCUCCGUAAACUAAUGUAAGAGUGUUUAGAUUACUACUUUAGUGAUCUAAACGCUCUUAUAUUAGUUUAUAGAGGGAGUACUAGCUAAAACACUCAGAAUGGCAAGGAAUAAACUUGAAAAGGUGGCUAUCACAACGUGAGAUUAAGACGACAUGACAUGCCAUCUGCAACUGAAGUUGCAGCCUUGAUUGUGAAUGAUACAACACAGAAUAGAAAAGGACGAGAUAUCAUUGUUCAGUACAAAGACAUGAGACCAAAGAGUAUCAGAGAACCAUUCAAAAUUCAUGGCUAUGCAGUAUAUAUUAUUAUUCCCCUAUGGAGAAGAUGGGUAUAGAGAAAAUACACAUUACACAUUAAAAUAAGGUGCAAAGUGGAAGAGAAAGGAUAUAACAAUGUUGGAAUACUAUGAGAAUCAUAUACAACAACAUACUAACCUGUCGAAACACUUGCUUGUGUGUGAAAAGCCUAAAUUGCAGUUCAUUGCCCUUGCAUAUAUUUUGUUGUACAAAUAGACUGGAUCGAAAGGCAUCAAGGAAACCUAAGAACGGAAUUGUAUGCUGACUUGCAAGACGCAAUAGAAAUACAACGGUUGACCAGGUAUGAAGGAGAAUACUACUGCCAUGUGCCAUCCAGCUUGACAGAUAGACCAAGAUACAAAGCAGAAAACUACCAAGAUGCUAUGUAAAUAUGUCAGUGCCUUGGAUACACAGACCUAUUUGUGACAGUCACAUGCAACGCAACUUGGCGGGAGAUUCAAUCUAUCUAUGCUACAGGAAGUAGGCCAAGCAGCAGUAGAAAGAUCUUAUAUUGUUGGUUUUCCUUUUUUUGCGAGGAGAAAGGUCUAAUAUUGUUCACUGAGUGUUCCACAUAAAGCUCAAGGAGUUCAUGAGAAACAUAAGAGAAAGGGAAUACUUAGAAAAAAAACACUCUCAAGUUAUAUCCUAUUGACUUGAUCACACCUGUUAUUUUCCUUUAUAUAGCAGAUGAACUAACAACAAGGAUGAUGUGGUCAAGAACAUAGUGUACACAAAAAUAUUCUGAAGGUAGGAACUAAACAAACACUUAUAGAUGCUACUAGCCUUUUUAGAUAACCAUAAGUACAUGGAGCAAAACUGACUUUCUAUGGUAAUAACAUGAUAUGGCAGGACAGAUAUAUUCUACUACUCCCAGAAGUAUUCAAAACAUGCAUCAACAUUCAAUGGAAAUAACUCAAUAUUAUAAUUUGUCGACACCAUAUAUUAUCAGAUAUUUUAAGCUUAUCUUAUUGUGCAAUACAAUAGUGACAGUAUCCACAGAUCGUUAUAGUUAAUAUGCGAAAUGUAAUAGCACCUAUUUUCAUAUCACCUAUUAAAAUUAAUUCAAUCUCUGGGAAAUCUUAAAGCUAUAGCUAAUCACAAAUAAACUAAUUACUUAUUAAAUUUGUUGAAUCUGAACGAGGGCAGAGGGGCCUCUGCCAAUGCAAGUCCCAAGUACAGAAAAAGGUGGAGGGGGCAUAAAUAAAUUUACAUCUUUUCACUAACAAGCUGUACCUUAAUGCACAUUAUAUUGGUUUAGGCAAAGUUCCUUCCUAGCUCGAGCUCCACGGUACCUACUAUCUGGACCAUUGGUUCGCUUUGGGAUUUGUGUGGUGAAGACGCAUCACGAGCGUUGUAGCUGUUCGCAGCAGUGUAAUUAGCAGGUUGCCUCACACUGUUACUUUUGUACCGUCUUUUUAGCUGCCCCUCCUGUCUAUCGAACAGAGAACAGAUCCCUUCGGUCUGUGCCGCUUGUGACAGAUAGAUUAGAAAAUAUGUAGGGCUCCAUGCUAGGUGCUAGGCCGUUCAGGGAAUAGGAAUCUUGCUCCUUUUUAGGACCAAGGGCGGCUAGCAAGAAAAUGCGAAAAUAUGAGUUGGAAAACGGCACACGCCAACAUGUGGCAACGAGAGAUUAGACACAUCAUGCAGUGGAUUUCAUUCGACAACACUGUCGCGGUUGGGCGGUGCAUGGGUCUCUUCUGCAUGAGGGUCUUGUGAGAGAAAGUGAGGAGACAGAGAGAGAAAGCAGGUUUAAGAUGUUUUCUCCUCGGAUUUAAAAGAGAGAGGGUGAACCAAGAUAAAUAAUUUUCUGUACGUUGAGAGAGGUGCUGUGAGAGAGAGCUAGCUACCCCGUCCAAAGUUUUCCGACAGAUUUUCUUGAGAGGUUUGGUUAGUGAAAGAUGCAAAGCUUGCUCACGCGCCACUUCGCCUGGAAUUUGAUGGUAUAGUGUGAUAUACAUGCAUGCAUGCUAGAGUUAAACAGUUGCCUUGCCCAAUUGAAACAAAAAAAGAUGUCAAAAUGUAAAAAAAGAAAACAGUUGUGCCUUCCUCAUAUAGUAUCAAUGGCGAUGAAAAAAAGAGGUAAAUACACUGUAAGUCAUAGAACUUGCACGCGAUGGUCAGUUUGAUAUAUAAACUUAUAAAAUACGUGUUUCUGGUCAUCUAAUCUGUCCCUCCGUUCAUAUAUGGUGCUUUCUACCGUAUUCAGCUAUAUCAUGUCAAUACAUGGCGUGCCAACGUGGCAGGGGUCCAUUGUCAGCGGUGGGUAACCCGUGUGCACUAUUUUUUUCUUCAGGAAGCACCCUUGCAUUUUUUUUAUUUAUGCAAAAAAUUCCUCAAAUAAAAUGAAAAAUGAUGAACGAACAUUGGGAUUCGAACAGAACACCUGCUACGAUCCGCCACGCUUCGAUAACCAAUUGACCUACAUAUUGUUCACACUCUUGGAGCACAAUUAGCUUUAUAUAAGAAAUAUUGUGCGGCCUUAAAAAAAGAUAGUACGAGCUAAAAUAGAAACCAAAACGAGAAAAAGGGAAGGCACCGGUUCGAACCUAUGACCACAUUUUUUAGAAGAACCUAUGAACACAUAAGCUCGCCGCGUGUGGGAGCACCAACCAUCCGGCCACAAUGAGUUAAAAAAACAUCAGCCACAAUGACAUUUAAAUAGAUAAACACAAUUUAUCUUAUGUAUUCUUCUUUCUUUUUUCUAUUUACAAUAAAAUAUUGUUCAUAAUGAAUAUACGUCAAUUUCUUUCGGACAAUCAACAGAACUCAUUAUAAAUUCGAAAAUCUAGAUAAAAAAAUUAUAUGUAAAAAAUAAUGUACAUAAAUUUUUCGGAGAAAUUAACUAUUUUUUGUUUGAAUUCAAAUAAUUUAAAAAUUAAAAAUAUGGAAAAGUGAAUAUAGUGCACAGUGAAUAUAGUGCACAAUGAAUAUACACAUUUUAUGGGGACAAAUCAGAAAAACUUUGUUUCAAAUUGAAUAAUUCGAAAUUUGAAAAUCUAGAGAAAAGGAAUGUGGCUCAGAAUGAAUGUAAGUAUUGUUCGGACAAAUCAUCUAAUUUUUGUUUGAAUUUGAAUAAGCUAUAUAAAAGAAAUACAGUUCAUAAUCAAUGUACGCAAAUUUCUUUCGAACAAAUCACUGGAUAUUUUGUUUGAAUUCGAAUAUAUUAAAAUUGGAAAAUCUUGAUAAACGAAAAUACAGGUCCGAAUGAAUUUACGUAAUUUUUUCCUGGAAAAAUCAAAUAAUUUUUUUCUUUAAAUUCGAAUUUUAAGUUAAAAAUCUAGAUAAAAGAAAAUGUUGUGCAGAAGGAAUGUAUGUAAUUUUCUUUCAAACAAAUCAGUGGAAAUUUUGUUUGAAUCUGAAUCAUUUUGAAUUGGAAAAUGUAGAGAAAAGAAAAUAUAUUCAGAAUGUGUACUUUUAUCCAAGAGGUGAUAUACCUUAGUAGUUCAAAUGAAACAGCAAGCACGAUCAGUUGAGGUGGUUAGGUUGUUAGCGCCAUUACAACAGUUUGUAGUUUCGAACUCGCUUCGUCCCUUUUUUUCCAGCCAAAUGUUUUUACAGCAAAUACUGACGGCUGGGACCCAGCGGACAACUAUUGUUGGAGUGCUUUUGUACAAAGUAAAAAAACAAGAGUGUUUUUUAGAAAAAACAUCACGUGCAUUAGGCACUGACAAUGGGCCCUUGCUACACUGGCAUUGCCACGUAGGCAGCAAAUACAUCCACGUACGGGAAAUAUGACCGUAUUUGCACACCCGCACAAGUUUAAUAACCAGAAACACGUAUUUUGCAAGUUCGUGCACCAAACUGAUCAUCGCACGCAAGUUGUAAGACUUCUAAUGUAUUUAACUCUGAAAAAAAUGGUGAUACAAUCAUACAGUCCAGCUUUCAAACAACUAGUCUGCACACUCUGUUGAAAAAUAUUUAAAUGCAUGUCACCUCUCUCUCACUGUAGCACAAGACAGAUGAUGCAAGACAAAAGCUUGGGAGGCUGUGCGUUGCUUGUGGACAAAAGCAUGCAGCAGCACAUGGUACAUCAUGUCAUGUACAGUACCCUGGUAUAGGCGUCAGAGUAUUAAGCGGCAAGCCCCUGGUGCGGUGGCUUAUUUUUGUUUAGCCAUACACAUGCAGAGACAGGAUAAGAAACAAGAAAAAGAUAUAUGAGAAAGAUAGGAAAAGGGUAAGGGGGGGGGACCUCUAGGUGGUAGAAUGAGUCGCCGAAUUCAGGCUGCCACUGUCGAGGAUGAAGACGACCUACCGGGCUGCCUUGCUCGGGGACAACCACGAUGCAAGGGAAAACAACGCCGCCAGCAUCCUCACAAUCGAUGUGGAUCCAAGCUGGCUCCGGGAGACGAGAUCCACGCCCACAUCGCCUCCA
rnacentral:lncRNA from 1 species